rnacentral:rRNA from 1 species
GAUGAACGCUGGCGGCGUGCCUAAUACAUGCAAGUCGAGCGAACGGACGAGAAGCUUGCUUUUCUGAUGUUAGCGGCGGACGGGUGAGUAACACGUGGAUAACCUACCUAUAAGACUGGGAUAACUUCGGGAAACCGGAGCUAAUACCGGAUAAUAUUUUGAACCGCAUGGUUCAAAAGUGAAAGACGGUCUUGCUGUCACUUAUAGAUGGAUCCGCGCUGCAUUAGCUAGUUGGUAGGGUAACGGCUUACCAAGGCAACGAUGCAUAGCCGACCUGAGAGGGUGAUCGGCCACACUGGAACUGAGACACGGUCCAGACUCCUACGGGAGGCAGCAGUAGGGAAUCUUCCGCAAUGGGCGAAAGCCUGACGGAGCAACGCCGCGUGAGUGAUGAAGGUCUUCGGAUCGUAAAACUCUGUUAUUAGGGAAGAACAUAUGUGUAAGUAACUGUGCACAUCUUGACGGUACCUAAUCAGAAAGCCACGGCUAACUACGUG